rnacentral:rRNA from 1 species
GGGCCCGCACAAGCGGUGGAGCAUGUGGCUUAAUUCGUCACUAACCGAAGAACCUUACCAGGGUUUGACAUCUGUGGAAUCCGGAUGAAAGUCUGGAGUGCCUCGUAAGAGGAGCCGCAAGACAGGUGUUGCAUGGCUGUCGUCAGCUCGUGUCGUGAGAUGUUGGGUUAAGUCCCGCAACGAGCGCAACCCUCAUCAGAUGUUGCCAGCGUAAAGUCGGGAACUCUUCUGAAACUGCCCGUGUAAGCGGGAGGAAGGUGGGGAUGACGUCAAGUCGGCAUGGCCCUUACGCCCUGGGCUGCACACAUGCUACAAUGGUCGUUAACAAAGGGUUGCGAAACCGCGAGGUGGAGCUAAUCUCAAAAAUACGGCCCCAGUUCGGAUUGCAGUCUGCAACUCGACUGCAUGAAUGUCGGAAUCGCUAGUAACCGCAGGUCAGCUAAACUGCGGUGAAUACGUUCCCGGGCCUU